CAGAGCUUGACUGAUGGUUGCACAUGGCACCUUCUUACGUUCUUUUGAAAAAUAAAACUUGUUUUGAUGUCAGAGCUUGACUGAUGGUUGCUCAUGGCACCUUCUUAUGUUCUUCUUUUGAAAAAUAAAACUUGUUUAGAUGUCAGAGCUUGAUUGAUGGGUGCACGUGGCUCCUUCUUGUGCUGUUCUUUUGAAAAAUAAAACU